GCCCGGGUAGCUCAGCUGGUAGAGCAGCUCACUCGUAAUGAGCAGGUCAGCGGUUCGAUUCCGCUCUCGGGCU
rnacentral:tRNA from 6 species